ensembl:lncRNA
GUGAGAGUCAGAUUUGUGAGGAAGUGGAGAGUCAGAUUUGUGAGGAAGGUGAGAGUCAGAUUUGUGAGGAAGUGGAGAGUCAGAUUUGUGAGGAAGGUGAGAGGCAGAUUUGUGAGGAAGGUGAGAGUCAGAUUUGUCAUGAAGUGGAGAGUCAGAUUUGUCUGGAGAGUCAGAUUUGUGAGGAAGGUGAGAGUCAGAUUUGUGAGGAAGGUGAGAGUCAGAUUUAUCUGAUCACACCAAAGGUGACAUUCAUGUAAAAUAGCAGCGAGUUGAAAGUUUUAUGGAGCAAAAGCGAGUUGAAAACGACGUUCUCACCAUUAAAGUGUACUUAAUUAAAUGAAUGCACACAACAAAGCCUUCAGACUCACAACCG